AGAAUUUAGCAGAGAUGCUUUAGUGCCUUCGGGAACUCUGAGACAGGUGCUGCAUGGCUGUCGUCAGCUCGUGUUGUGAAAUGUUUCGGGUUAAGUCCCGCAACGAGCGCAACCCCUAUCCUUUGUUGCCAGCGAUUCGGUCGGGAACUCAAAGGAGACUGCCGGUGAUAAACCGGAGGAAGGUGGGGAUGACGUCAAGUCAUCAUGGCCCUUACGAGUAGGGCUACACACGUGCUACAAUGGCGCAUACAAAGAGAAGCGACCUCGCGAGAGCAGGCGGACCUCAUAAAGUGCGUCGUAGUCCGGAUUGGAGUCUGCAACUCGACUCCAUGAAGUCGGAAUCGCUAGUAAUCGUAGAUCAGAAUGCUACGGUGAAUACGUUCCCGGGCCUUGUACACACCGCCCGUCACACCAUGGGAGUGGGUUGCAAAAGAAGUAGAUAGCUUAACCUUCGGGAGGGCGUUUACCACUUUGUGAUUCAUGACUGGGGUGAAGUCGUAACAAGGUAAGCGUAGCGAG
rnacentral:rRNA from 1 species